UGGAAUUCGCCCUUAGAGUUAGAUCCUGGCUCAAGACGAACGCUGGCGGCGAGCUUAACACAUGCAAGUCGAACGAAAAGAGGGAAAGAGCUUGCUCUUUCCGGAAUUGAGUGGCAAACGGGAGAGUAACACGUAAACAACCUGCCUUCAAGAUGGGGACAACAGACGGAAACGACUGCUAAUACCGAAUAAGUUCCAAGAGCCGCAUGGCCCAUGGAAGAAAAGGUGGCCUCUACCUGUAAGCUAUCGCCUGAAGAGGGGUUUGCGUCUGAUUAGCUGGUUGGAGGGGUAACGGCCCACCAAGGCGACGAUCAGUAGCCGGUCUGAGAGGAUGAACGGCCACACUGGAACUGAGACACGGUCCAGACUCCUACGGGAGGCAGCAGUGGGGAAUCUUCCGCAAUGGGCGAAAGCCUGACGGAGCAACGCCGCGUGAGUGAUGACGGCCUUCGGGUUGUAAAACUCUGUGAUCCGGGACGAAAAGGCAGAGUGCGAAGAACAAACUGCAUUGACGGUACCGGAAAAGCAAGCCACGGCUAACUACGUGCCAGCAGCCGCGGUAAUACGUAGGUGGCAAGCGUUGUCCGGAAUUAUUGGGCGUAAAGCGCGCGCAGGCGGCUUCCCAAGUCCCUCUUAAAAGUGCGGGGCUUAACCCCGUGAUGGGAAGGAAACUGGGAAGCUGGAGUAUCGGAGAGGAAAGUGGAAUUCCUAGUGUAGCGGUGAAAUGCGUAGAGAUUAGGAAGAACACCGGUGGCGAAGGCGACUUUCUGGACGAAAACUGACGCUGAGGCGCGAAAGCGUGGGGAGCAAACAGGAUUAGAUCCCCUGGUAGUCCACGCCGU
rnacentral:rRNA from 1 species